CGCUACCCACCUCCUUCUGGUUAAAUCUCUUGGCACAUCCAAAACCUGCUCUUCAACAUGAAGAAAUCUGAAAAUUGUUAUUGUGUUAUGCUUGUGUUUUCUCUAAGGCACCUGAGGUCUUCUGAAAUGCUCCCUAAUGUUGAAACACGUUUAACAAUAUUUUGAGAAUCUAUUUAUUUAACUUAUCCCAAGGAAACAACCUAAAACAUGCCAAAAAACCUAUACGUAGCAUUAUUUGUAACAGCAAAAAAGUCAAGAUAACCUAAACGCUCAACCACAAGAAAAUUAUGUAAAUUCUGUAACAUUAAUUCUGACACUUCAUUGAACUAUUACAGAGAGCAAUAAUUACAACACAGCACCACGAAAAUGCUCGUGUGAAAUGAAAAUGAAAUGAAAAAUGAAAAACCAAGAUGUCAAAUUAUACUCUCGCAGUUUACAACAAUGUAAAAACAAUAUAGAACAAUACCACAGCUAUCCUGUCUGCCCUACAGUGUUGCUAUAAGGAUCAAAUGAGAUAACAAAGAAAAAAAAAAUCAAAUGGCUAAAGCGUCACACAAAUUUUAAAUGAUAUUAAUAUUAGGCAUGCGAAAAAUGUUCAGUGUAUGAAUCAAGAGGCCAACGGAAACCUGAAAGCCCAUAUCAGAGGUUCUGGAAAAACGGACCACCUCCAAGUCCUCUUUACAGCGUUCAGACGGUCUUCGUUUUCAUCAGUGACAACAUGUGUAGGUGCACAUUCAGUGAUAACCCGUAUUAACAGCCCACUCAUUCAGAAAGUGCUUUAGCAAGGCAAGAGUUAUUCCUGCAAUAAAGGCUUUGCUCUAUUUGAGGGAGUGAGUGAAAAAGAGAGAGUGAGCAAGAUCUACUUUGAGAGUUGAACUUCUUCAUCAAGCUCGGAUCAGAUUCUGCAGCAUGAGGCUAUACACAUGGGUGACGGCCUGGACACAAACACUCGAUAUCCCAGAUUGCAGACUCUUCAGUCUCAGAGAAAUCUUUCUCCACUUCUCCAGGUGUAUUUUCCUAAUAUUCCCAGGGGAGAGGAAUAAAGGUCACUGGCUUACAGACAAACCAUUCACUCCAACUGGCAGCCCGAGCCGGUGCUGAGGGACUCCCUUCUCACUCCGCAAGGGCAGAUACGUAAAGAUGGGAAUAAGGAAAUUCCAAGGGAGAGGGUUCCAUGAGUUCUUUAUGUGACCCCACACAUCAGGUAUUUCUGUUAAUAUCUAUCUAAUCCUUCAACCUUGACUUUCCUCUUUCCCCAUACAAACCACAAUUUUCCUGCACAUCCUGACUUCCUCAUUUCUUCGCUUAAUCCAGAUUUCUUUGUUGAAUGCCUCUAAAACACAUCUUCUGGUUUCCUUACAGUUCUGAGCAAGAUGGAGUGCACACACCCUGCCCUGUCUCCCCCACUGAAUGUGGCUAUAAACCCUGGACGGAGCAAACAGAGCAGCUGUUUGAGGUCUCUGAAACGUAAACAGCAGCAGGUAGAUGAGGGAAGAUGACCAGAAUUUGACGCACCAGCAAACUGGUGCUCGUCGGUCACUUUGCCACGGGUGAGUCAUCUGCUCUGAGUCAUGCCUGGCUGAGACGGAAAGGCCAGGAGGAUGCCUCCAAACACACCUGGCUUACGAAAGGACAUCACGAGGGACACGGUCGGCACCCAGGCACACGCUUUCCUAAGUAGACUAAAAAUUAAAAGAAAAAAAUCCCCUUUACUCUCUCUCUCUCUUUUUCCUCGAAAUUUCCCAUUUCUCUCAGAAUUUGUUGGAGAUGAUUCCUAUGGGGGAAUGGGUCUUGGUCACCCACUUUGGACUUUCAGAGGCAGGAGAACAUUUCUGGAAGGAGCCCAGAAAAACCCUGAGGACAAAAUCAGGUUUUUCUUACAUAAGGUUCUUCCUCGAAUGUACGUACUACAUGGACUGUCACACACGGGCCACCAUCGGACGGCUCCUCCUCUGAGAGCUAUGAAGAUACUGUUUACACAGGGACCACCAAACUGUACCUAAAACAAGGAAAGAUGAGAACCGUCCCAGACCAGAGGAGACUGGGGAGCUGUGACAACUAAACGCACCGUGGUCCCGGAACUGGGUCCUGGGACAGAAGGAGGAGCUGCCUGGAUCCGCGUGCCAGCUCUGCCCCUACGACGGGAGGCAAACCACUCUGCCUCUCCAGGCCUCAGCCUUCUCAUCUGUGAAACAGGUACGGCAGUGGUGGCUAGCCGUGGUGUUCUCGUGAGGGUUAAAGUGACAACCCACAGAGCACCUGGCACAUUGCUGGGCAUGGCAGAGGAAACCCGAUAAACAGGAGCUACAACAACUUUGCCCCCUCAGGGAGAAGGCAUAAACUGCACCCCGCUUCUUCCUCAAGUGUGCCGUCCUUGCCUCCUUGUCAGGGCCAACCCUGAAGUUUAAGGAGCUUGACUCUGAAAACCACCCCAUACAUAAAAGCUCUUUCCCCACCCUCUUGCCUCAAAGCCCCUAAGUUUACCAUUAUAGAUUCAUUUCUUCUAAGCACUUCCCUUCCAAAUGUAAAACUGCUGGCAGAGGUGUGUCAUCAGCUCUUGACACACGGGAACAGACCAGCCUAUGGGGUCCCCAUAGAAAGGGGUCCUGAAAAGGCAGGAGGAAGAAGGGAAAGUGGGGACGCAAGCUCAGCCCUCAGGGUGUGUGGGGGUGACGCUCGGGGACCUUCAAGGACAUUGGGUGUCUGGAAGGAGAUGCUGGUGGUGACGGUGCCACUGGAGGGGAGAGUGGGAAGCCGGAGGGGGACAGAGAAGGGAGCAACAGAAACUACUUUUCACUAGACGUCGUUCCGUGCCCUUUGAGUUUGGUAGCGUCUGCAUCAUGACCUAGGCAAAAUGAAUUAAAUUAAAUAAAGGAGGGGGGAUACUGGUCUCUGAGGGUGAAGGUGCAAGUUACUUCAGACACUCUGCUGGCAGCCUGCCCUGCUCUCACCCUCUCCACCCCGCCCCCUCCCCCCAACGAGAAAAGCUGCCCCAUGAGCUCCUGGACGGCUCAUUCUGGGAACAGCAGCAAUACUUUUUCAGGGUCAAAAUUUGAGACACCAAAACCUUACACAAAAGCACUUCAGAACCGCUGGAGAAGCUCACCAAGGGAAAACGCAGCUUCCCCUAGUGUCGUGACCUCCCGUGAAAGCCGCUGUGUGAGGACUAACGCCGAGCGUCACGUGCAGCUGCACCAUUUGUUUCACCGUUGGACGUCAAUGAGCCACUCCUCCUCCACAAGGACCGGGUGAAGCAAAAUGCUGAGGAAGGAAAUAAUCCCUCCACGGCCCCUGCAGAGGCAUCGGAGAAACCCCGCAUCCUGCCCUGGGCUUGAGCCACUAGUAAGACCCGUCCACCAGCAGGCGGUAGGAGCGGGGGGAGGCCGUGGACUUGGCAUUCAGAGCCAGGAAAAUCAUCCGGUCCGUACAACCUUGGGCCAAUCACUCGAUUGCUGGGACCCUCACCAUUCUCACCUGUGACACAUAUAGAUCACCACUUACCUUGCCAGUUGUGGAAGCUUUAUACACAAAUAUCCAAAUCCAUGUCAUUACCCCUAAAAAUAACCCAGCACCUCCUGCUAGAUUUUCUCUGUAAAAUGUCACCGGAUCUUGAAGUUGGAAGGUGUAAUGCAUGGACUUGUGUUCCCCUAAAAAGACACCUUGAAGUCCUAACCCCAGGAACCGUGAAUGUGACCUCAUUUGGAAAUAGGGUCUUUGCAGAUGUAAUUAGUGAAAUUCACAUAAAGCCAUAAUGGCACAGGGUGGGCCUUAAAUCCAAUCUGACUGGUGUCCUUAUAAGAAGACAAGGAACAGAGAGAGAGCACACAGAGGGAAGAUAAUGUGAAGACACGCACACAGGGAGAAGGAGGCCAUGUGACCACACGGGCAGAGAUGGCAGUGAGGCGUCUAUGAGCCAAGGAACACCAAGGACGGCUGCAACACCAGAGGCUGGGAGAGGGGCACAGAUUCUCCGUCUGAGCCCUCAGGAAGGAACCAACGGUGCCGACCCCUUGAUUUUGGACUUCUGGCCUCCAGGACUGUAAGAGGAUAAAUACCUGUUGUUUUAAGCCCCCGUUUGUGGUCCUUUGUGAUGGCAGCCCCAGGACACCCAUUCAGAGAGUUACCUGGUUUUACUACCUGUUUAAUGCUUGAGUUCUCUUGCCCAGUGGUGAGCUAGCCAGCCUAUGUUUGACUGUCUCUAGUAAAAGAAAACUAACUUCGCACCUACCAAGGCAGCAAUCUCCACCUGUGAAAUGCCAUGACUAUCGUAAUAAUCAUUCAGUCAACAAAUACUUAUUGAGCACCAACUAUAUGCUAGGAACUGUUUGGGGCAUGUUGAUACAGUGUAAGUAGGGAGCAGACAAUAAAACCACUCUCGAAUAAGGUCA